ACGAUCAGUAGCCGGCCUGAGAGGGUGAACGGCCACAUUGGGACUGAGACACGGCCCAGACUCCUACGGGAGGCAGCAGUGGGGAAUAUUGCACAAUGGGGGAAACCCUGAUGCAGCGACGCCGCGUGAAGGAAGAAGUAUCUCGGUACGUAAACUUCUAUCAGCAGGGAAGAUAGUGACGGUACCUGACUAAGAAGCCCCGGCUAACUACGUGCCAGCAGCCGCGGUAAUACGUAGGGGGCAAGCGUUAUCCGGAUUUACUGGGUGUAAAGGGAGCGUAGACGGUGUGGCAAGUCUGAUGUGAAAGGCAUGGGCUCAACCUGUGGACUGCAUUGGAAACUGUCAUACUUGAGUGCCGGAGGGGUAAGCGGAAUUCCUAGUGUAGCGGUGAAAUGCGUAGAUAUUAGG
rnacentral:rRNA from 1 species